ACUCYUACGGGAGGCAGCAGUGGGGAAUAUUGCACAAUGGGCGAAASCCUGAUGCAGCAACGCCGCGUGAGGGACGACGGCCUUCGGGUUGUAAACCUCUUUUAGCAAGGAAGAAGCGAAAGUGACGGUACUUGCAGAAAAAGCGCCGGCUAACUACGUGCCAGCAGCCGCGGUAAUACSYMGGGCGCAAGCGUUAUCCGGAAUUAUUGGGCGUAAAGAGCUCGUAGGCGGUUUGUCGYGUCUGCUGUGAAAACCCGAGGCUCAACCUCGGGCCUGCAGUGGGUACGGGCAGACUAGAGUGCGGUAGGGGAGAUUGGAAUUCCUGGUGUAGCGGUGGAAUGCGCAGAUAUCAGGAGGAACACCGAUGSCGAAGGCAGAUCUCUGGGCCGUAACUGACGYUGAGGAGSGAAAGGGUGGGGRGCAAACAGGCUUAGAUACCCUGGUAGUCCACCCCGUAAACGUUGGGAACUAGUUGUGGGGUCCAUUCCACGGAUUCCGUGACSCAGCUAACGCAUUAAGUUCCCCGCCUGGGGAGUAYGSCCGCAAGSCUAAAACUCAAAKGAAUWRAYG
rnacentral:rRNA from 1 species